GAAAUGCGAUAAGUAAUGUGAAUUGCAGAAUUCAGUGAAUCAUCGAAUCUUUGAACGCACAUUGCACCCUCUGGUAUUCCGGGGGGUAUGCCUGUUCGAGCGUCAUUUCAACCCUCAAGCCCAGCUUGGUAUUGGGUGUCACCUGGCAAUGGUGUACCUUAAAAUCAGUGGCAGUGCCAUCUGGCUUCAAGCGUAGUAAAACUCUCGCUUUAGAGGUUUGGAUGCGUGCCUGCUAUCAACCCCCUAAUUUAUCAAAGGUUGACCUCGGAUCAGGUAGGGAUACCCGCUGAACUUAA
rnacentral:misc_RNA from 1 species